AUAAUACCACCUGCAUCCUAAAAUUCUUGUCUUACAUUUAUUAAAAUAUGGAUGUAUCUAGUUAUAUUUUAAUGUUAGAUAUAUCCGUAUUUAAACAAAUCUAAGACAAAAAAUUUGGGAUGGAUGUAAUAGCCA
rfam:Triticum aestivum genome assembly, contig: Triticum_aestivum_CS42_TGACv1_scaffold_343013_4DL